rnacentral:misc_RNA from 1 species
CAGGUCUCCACCAAUGUUUUGAGGGGAAACUCUCUUCUGGUCUCCCCUUCCUAUGUCCAAGGUCAAAGCCAUUGAUUUGAAGAAUGGAAAUGGAACUGUUGCAGUAGUCAUUCGAGAUAAUACAGGAACAAUUUUGGAUUGGCGUUGUCAAAAAUUUCAAACCCCCUUGUUUUGGAAGGCUUGGCGUGCAGGGAAGCGCUGUUGCUUUUGAUGGAUAAAGGUUUCCAAAGAGCUAUAGCAGAGGGCGAUUGUUUAAUGCUUAUCAAUGCUAUUAAUAGUGAUCAAACGCCUCUCCUCAUUCAGAAUCCAG